CUGGCUCAGGACGAACGCUGGCGGCGUGCCUAAUACAUGCAAGUCGAACGAAGCUUUCUUUCACCGAAUGCUUGCAUUCACCGAAAGAAGCUUAGUGGCGAACGGGUGAGUAACACGUAGGCAACCUGCCCAAAAGAGGGGGAUAACACUUGGAAACAGGUGCUAAUACCGCAUAACCAUGAACACCGCAUGAUGUUCAUGUAAAAGACGGCUUUUGCUGUCGCUUUUGGAUGGGCCUGCGGCGUAUUAACUUGUUGGUGGGGUAACGGCCUACCAAGGUGAUGAUACGUAGCCGAACUGAGAGGUUGAUCGGCCACAUUGGGACUGAGACACGGCCCAAACUCCUACGGGAGGCAGCAGUAGGGAAUCUUCCACAAUGGACGAAAGUCUGAUGGAGCAACGCCGCGUGAAUGAAGAAGGCCUUCGGGUCGUAAAAUUCUGUUGUCAGAGAAGAACGUGCGUGAGAGUAACUGUUCACGUAUUGACGGUAUCUGACCAGAAAGCCACGGCUAACUACGUGCCAGCAGCCGCGGUAAUACGUAGGUGGCGAGCGUUGUCCGGAUUUAUUGGGCGUAAAGGGAACGCAGGCGGUCUUUUAAGUCUGAUGUGAAAGCCUUCGGCUUAACCGAAGUAGUGCAUUGGAAACUGGAAGACUUGAGUGCAGAAGAGGAGAGUGGAACUCCAUGUGUAGCGGUGAAAUGCGUAGAUAUAUGGAAGAACACCAGUGGCGAAAGCGGCUCUCUGGUCUGUAACUGACGCUGAGGUUCGAAAGCGUGGGUAGCAAACAGGAUUAGAUACCCUGGUAGUCCACGCCGUAAACGAUGAGUGCUAAGUGUUGGAGGGUUUCCGCCCUUCAGUGCUGCAGCUAACGCAUUAAGCACUCCGCCUGGGGAGUACGGUCGCAAGA
rnacentral:rRNA from 1 species